rnacentral:rRNA from 1 species
ACAAGCGGUGGAUGAUGUGGUUAAUUCGAUGCAACGCGAAAACUUACCCACCUUUGACAUGUACGGAAUCCUUUAGAGAUAGAGGAGUGCUCGAAAGAGAACCGUAACACAGGUGCUGCAUGGCUGUCGUCAGCUCGUGUCGUGAGAUGUUGGGUUAAGUCCCGCAACGAGCGCAACCCUUGUCAUUAGUUGCUACAUUCAGUUGGGCACUCUAAUGAGACUGCCGGUGACAAGCCGGAGGAAGGUGGGGAUGACGUCAAGUCCUCAUGGCCCUUAUAGGUGGGGCUACACACGUCAUACAAUGGAUGGUACAAAGGGUCGCCAACCCGCGAGGGGGAGCCAAUCCCAUAAAGCCAUUCGUAGUCCGGAUCGCAGUCUGCAACUCGACUGCGUGAAGUCGGAAUCGCUAGUAAUCGUGGAUCAGAAUGUCACGGUGAAUACGUUCCCGGGUCUU